rnacentral:rRNA from 1 species
UGAGGAAUAUUGGUCAAUGGGCGCAGGCCUGAACCAGCCAAGUCGCGUGAGGGAUGACGGUCCUACGGAUUGUAAACCUCUUUUGUCGGGGAGUAACGUGCGGGACGGGUCCCGUAUUGAGAGUACCCGAAGAAAAAGCAUCGGCUAACUCCGUGCCAGCAGCCGCGGUAAUACGGAGGAUGCGAGCGUUAUCCGGAUUUAUUGGGUUUAAAGGGAGCGUAGGCCGUCUGUUAAGCGUGUUGUGAAAUGUCGGGGCUCAACCUGGGCAUUGCAGCGCGAACUGGCAGACUUGAGUGCGCAGGAAGUAGGCGGAAUUCGUCGUGUAGCGGUGAAAUGCUUAGAUAUGACGAAGAACUCCGAUUGCGAAGGCAGCCUGCUGUAGCGUAACUGACGCUGAAGCUCGAAAGCGUGGGU